UUUUACAAAACAUGUCCUUUUGACUGUAUUUUAUUAAUAUAAGGUCUGACCUGCCCAAUGAUUUAUCUAAUUUAAUGGCCGCAGUAUCCUAACUGUGCGAAGGUAGCAUAGUCAUUUGUCCUUUAAUUGGGGACUUGUAUGAAUGGUCUGAUGAGGGAUAUACUUUCUUUAUUUUAUUAUUUAGAAUUUAAUAUAUAAGUCAAAAAGCUUAUAUAUAAUUAAGUGACGAGAAGACCCUAUAGAACUUAACCACUAAUAAUAGUGAAAUAAUAUUGGUUAUUAAUUAGUGGCAUUAUUAUAGGUGGUUUUAUUGGGGCGAUAGUUAAAUUUUAUUAACUUUAACUGUAAUUUUAUCAGUGAUUAUUGAUUUAUAUUGAUCCAGUAUUACUGAUUAUAAGAUUAAGUUACCUUAGGGAUAACAGCGUAAUUCUGUUGGAGAGUCCAUAUUAAUAACAGGGUUUGCGACCUCGAUGUUGGAUUAAAAUAAGUAUUAGGUGCAGAAGCUUAAUUACUAAGUCUGUUCGACUUUUAAAUUUUUACAUGAUUAAUUUUCA
rnacentral:rRNA from 1 species